ACUCAAAGGAAUAGACGGGGACCCGCACAAGCGGUGGAUGAUGUGGUUUAAUUCGAUGCAACGCGAAAAACCUUACCCACCUUUGACAUGUCUGGAAUCCCGCAGAGAUGCAGGAGUGCUCGAAAGAGAACCAGAACACAGGUGCUGCAUGGCUGUCGUCAGCUCGUGUCGUGAGAUGUUGGGUUAAGUCCCGCAACGAGCGCAACCCUUGCCAUUAGUUGCUACGAAAGGGCACUCUAAUGGGACUGCCGGUGACAAACCGGAGGAAGGUGGGGAUGACGUCAAGUCCUCAUGGCCCUUAUAGGUGGGGCUACACACGUCAUACAAUGGCUGGUACAGAGGGUUGCCAACCCGCGAGGGGGAGCUAAUCCCAUAAAACCAGUCGUAGUCCGGAUCGCAGUCUGCAACUCGACUGCGUGAAGUCGGAAUCGCUAGUAAUCGCGGAUCAGAAUGUCGCGGUGAAUACGUUCCCGGGUCUUGUACACACCGCCCGU
rnacentral:rRNA from 1 species